rnacentral:rRNA from 1 species
UACGAAGGACCCAAGCGUUAUCCGGAUUUAUUGGGUUUAAAGGGUCCGUAGGCGGUUUUGUAAGUCAGUGGUGAAAGCCCAUCGCUCAACGGUGGAACGGCCAUUGAUACUGCAAGACUUGAAUUAUUGGGAAGCAACUAGAAUAUGUAGUGUAGCGGUGAAAUGCUUAGAGAUUACAUGGAAUACCAAUUGCGAAGGCAGGUUGCUACCAAUACAUUGACGCUGAUGGACGAAAGCGUGGGGAGCCGAACGAG